GUGAUGACGAGGCACUACGGUGCUGAAGUGACAAAUGCCCUGCUUCCAGGAAAAGCCUCUAAGCAUCAGGUAACACGAAAUCGUACCCCAAACCGACACAGGUGGUCAGGUAGAGAAUACCAAGGCGCUUGAGAGAACUCGGGUGAAGGAACUAGGCAAAAUGGUGCCGUAACUUCGGGAGAAGGCACGCUGAUAUGUAGGUGAAGUGAUUUACUCAUGGAGCUGAAAUCAGUCGAAGAUACCAGCUGGCUGCAACUGUUUAUUAAAAACACAGCACUGUGCAAACACGAAAGUGGACGUAUACGGUGUGACGCCUGCCCGGUGCCGGAAGGUUAAUUGAUGGGGUUAUCCGUAAGGAGAAGCUCUUGAUCGAAGCCCCGGUAAACGGCGGCCGUAACUAUAACGGUCCUAAGGUAGCGAAAUUCCUUGUCGGGUAAGUUCCGACCUGCACGAAUGGCGUAAUGAUGGCCAGGCUGUCUCCACCCGAGACUCAGUGAAAUUGAACUCGCUGUGAAGAUGCAGUGUACCCGCGGCAAGACGGAAAGACCCCGUGAACCUUUACUAUAGCUUGACACUGAACACUGGUCCUUGAUGUGUAGGAUAGGUGGGAGGCUUUGAAGUGUGGACGCCAGUCUGCAUGGAGCCGUCCUUGAAAUACCACCCUUUAAUGGCUGGUGUUCUAACGUGGGCCCGUAAUCCGGGUUGCGGACAGUGUCUGGUGGGUAGUUUGACUGGGGCGGUCUCCUCCCAAAGAGUAACGGAGGAGCACGAAGGUUAGCUAAUCCUGGUCGGACAUCAGGAGGUUAGUGCAAAGGCAUAAGCUAGCUUGACUGCGAGAGUGACGGCUCGAGCAGGUGCGAAAGCAGGUCUUAGUGAUCCGGUGGUUCUGAAUGGAAGGGCCAUCGCUCAACGGAUAAAAGGUACUCCGGGGAUAACAGGCUGAUACC
rnacentral:rRNA from 1 species